GGUCCAGACUCCUACGGGAGGCAGCAGUGGGGAAUAUUGGACAAUGGGCGCAAGCCUGAUCCAGCUAUGCCGCGUGGGUGAAGAAUGCCUUCGGGUUGUAAAGCCCUUUUGUUGGGGAAGAAAAGCAAUUGGUUAAUACCUAGUUGUUAUGACGGUACCCAAAGAAUAAGCACCGGCUAACUUCGUGCCAGCAGCCGCGGUAAUACGAAGGGUGCAAGCGUUACUCG
rnacentral:rRNA from 1 species